GCACAAGAAUGCUAAAAAUGGUUCGCUUCACAUUACAGGCAGGCAUCAGGCCCACGGUGGUCUCCUUCAAAUGAGGGUCAGCUGGAUACACCCAUGCUUCUUAUGGCUCUGCUUCUAAACAGCAGUUUACUGAAGAGCUGGCAGGUUAAAUGACUUGCUCAGGAUCACCCAGAGAGUCAGAAAUGAGGACUAAGCCAUGAAGACUGUAGUAACAGAAGACAACAAGGAUUGUGCCACAAUUACUGAAAAGCAAUAUUGUGCUGAAAUAAUAGUUUAAAUGCUGACACCAAUGGGGCAUCUUCAGUACUAGCAUGUAGGUCAUCAGACAUUUUGUGGACUUUUGGCUUCAUAAGAUCUUCAUCCUGUGAGAGCGUAUAUAAACAAGUAUGGGCAUUAAUCUGUUCUGAAAGAUCUCAUGCCCCAUGACUUCUUUUUGUUGCUGAAAUUAAACUUGAGACUGAAAGGAAGAAGAUUUGCUACCAUGGAAGAAAUACAAGAAAAACUUCCAGAGGGUGCAGACACAGUAACAAAAGAUGAGGAAUGGGAAAUGUUAACAGGAAUGGGAGAAGCACUGGGACAGGGCGAAACCACAGGAUACAGAUCCCCGCUUCUCUAAUAUCACUGCUGGAGUGCCACCUUGAGUCUGUAGGUUCUGGCUGGGGGGUCAAUGCUGAUCAACUGAAAACAACAUUAAAACAUUGAGAAGAGAAGCUCAUGCAGCAUAGUCCUGUGCUGGCCACCAUUAACGCCAUUGUAGCAGAAAAGUUGUUAUCUCCAUUCUCAAUGAAAACAUAAGAUUAUUUGUUUUUCUCAGCUAUCACUAAAA